AUGUUUACUCCAUGUUUACUUCUCACUGUUUGCAAAUUAGUAAUGUUUCGACAAGGAGUAUUGUGCAGUAGGAGUACAAUACUCUGUAUUUUGACAAACAAGUGCAACAUCUCAUGUGUGAUUAUGCAUUUAUCUGAACCUAUGCAUUUAACUCAAUCUAUGCCGAAUCUAACUGAUCCUUGUAGUCUAUUUGCAGAAUUUACAGUAAAAUUUACUCCAGGGAGCAAGAUCAGAUUACUGCAGUUAGGGGCGAGGCAAGGAGAACCUGCCUGGAGACCACGUGCGGCAGCGACGAUCCAGGUGGGCUGGGCGCGGCGAGGACCAAGUUGA
rnacentral:rRNA from 1 species